rnacentral:rRNA from 1 species
UACGUAGGGGGCGAGCGUUAUCCGGAAUUAUUGGGCGUAAAGGGUGCGCAGGCGGUUUGCCUAGUUCGUGGCGACAGCCAUCGGCUUCACCGAUGGAGGACUGCGAAAACUGGCAGAUUUGAGAGCGAGAGAGGGAUAUGGAACUCCGGGUGGAGCAGUGAAAUGCGUAGAGCUCCGGAAGAACACCGAAUGCGAAGGCAAUGUCCUGGCUCGUCUCUGACGCUCAAGCACGAAAGCAAGGGGAGCGAACAGG